AAUGAGAAGGGUAGUGUCAUGGGUAUGAAAAUGAGAAGGGAAAGAAAAGAAAAUGUAAAGAAAGAAAGAAAAUGGAAGAAAAAGGAAAAAGAAAAUAAAAUGAAAGAGAAGGCUGUGAGUGGGCGGCAAAAUGAGAAAAGAAAAAAAAAAUAAAAAAAAGCCUUUAGGGUUUGACUUUCAGAAUGGAUGGUGGAGAUUAAAAACGAAAAAGAAUUGCUAGGAUUAGUUCUCACAUAUGGGUAUAGAAAGAUGGGCCUAGGUUGGGCCAAAAUUAAAAUGGAAGGAGCC
rnacentral:lncRNA from 1 species